ACCAGGCUCUCAGCACUAUAGGC
rnacentral:piRNA from 1 species